rnacentral:rRNA from 1 species
GUAGGUGGCAAGCGUUGUCCGGAAUUAUUGGGCGUAAAGCGCGCGCAGGCGGUUCUUUAGGUCUGAUGUGAAAGCCCACGGGCUCAACCGUGGAGGGUCAUUGGAAACUGGAGAACCCGAGUACAGAAGAGGAAAGCGGAAUUCCACGUGUAGCGGUGAAAUGCGUAGAGAUGUGGAGGAACACCAGUGGCGAAGGCGGCUUUCUGGUCUGUAACUGACGCUGAGGCGCGAAAGCGUGGGGAGCAAACAGGAUUAGAUACCCUGGUAGUCCACGCCGUAAACGAUGAGUGCUAAGUGUUAGGGGGUUUCCGCCCCUUAGUGCUGCAGCUAACGCAUUAAGCACUCCGCCGGGGGAGUACGGCCGCAAAGGCUGA